rnacentral:sRNA from 1 species
GCUAAGCACUCGCUGCAAAUGAAAACGCCCCGACUUAGGUCGGGGCGUUUUUGUUUGUG